UUUUUGGAGAGUUUGAUCCUGGCUCAGGACGAACGCUGGCGGCGUGCCUAAUACAUGCAAGUCGAGCGGAUCUUCAUUAGCUUGCUUUUGAAGAUCAGCGGCGGACGGGUGAGUAACACGUGGGCAACCUGCCUGUAAGACUGGGAUAACUUCGGGAAACCGGAGCUAAUACCGGAUAAUCCUUUCCCUCACAUGAGGGAAAGCUGAAAGACGGUUUCGGCUGUCACUUAC
rnacentral:rRNA from 1 species